rfam:Nocardiopsis sp. JB363 genome assembly, contig: Scaffold16
ACGCAGGAAAGGAGGUGGUCCAGAAGAUGAUUGACCCUAGGACCGGCGAGGUGGCCGUCCGCUAGGACGACGCCGAGCAUUCGCUCGACGUACGUCGUAGGCGAAUCCCAGACGGACACCCGAACCCCGGGCUGUCGGACCUUGUCCGAUCCGACCCUCUCGUAGGAGACGGCCCGGGGUUCGUCCAUG